GUUGCCUUGGCCGAGUGUUAAGGCGAUACACUUGAAAUAUUUUGGGAUUUUCCCACUUAGGUUCGAAUCCUGCCGACAACG
rnacentral:tRNA from 1 species